UACAGAGGUCUCAAGCGUUGUUCGGAUUCAUUGGGCGUAAAGGGUGCGUAGGUGGCGCCAUAAGUCAGGUGUGAAAUCUCGGAGCUCAACUCCGAAACUGCACUUGAUACUGUGGUGCUUGAGUACUGGAGAGGAGAUUGGAAUUUACGGUGUAGCAGUGAAAUGCGCAGAUAUCAGGAAGAACACCCGUGGCGAAGGCGGCUCUCUGGGACGGUACUGACGCUGAGACGCGAAAGCGUGGGGAGCGAACAGG
rnacentral:rRNA from 1 species